AAAAUCUUAAGUUAAAAAAACUAAUAGCCUUCAAAGCUUUAAAUAAAAAGUAUUUAGAUUUUA
rnacentral:tRNA from 1 species